rnacentral:lncRNA from 1 species
CCCUGAGAAUUCUCUCGCCUGCCUUCGGCCCUUAGGCUCCGGGAGAUUGCAAAUAACCUGCUUUCUUUCUGUUCCCAGGUGGCGUCGGACCCCUGUCAGAGAGUAAAUCUCAAGUAAGGUACCUGCCAUCGGCAGAUUUGAGCUUUCUUCUUGGACACCUAAUACCCACAGUCCUCCAGGCUCCGGUAGACUGCAAAUGACCUGCUUUCUUUCUGUUCCCGGGCUGCGUUUGGACCCCUGUCGGAUAGUAAAUCCCAAGUAAGGUACCUGCCCUCGGCAGAUUUGAGCUUUCUUCUUGGACACCUAAUACCCACAGUCCCCCAGGCUCCGGUAGACUGCAAAUGACCUGCUUUCUUUCUGUUCCCGGGCUGCGUUUGGACCCCUGUCGGACAGUAAAUCCCAAGAAUGGAACAGAUAAGAAGAUACUGAAAUUGGACGGUGCUGCCGUGCGGCUGCCGCAGGACACCUUUAAUAUCCCUGUUUCUCAGGCUGUAGAUGAAGGGGUUCAGCAUGGAGGUGAUCACCGUGUACAUCACUGAGGCCACUGCAGCCUUUCUCGGGGAAGAUGACACAUCUGAACUGAGGUACCCUCCAAAGCCUGUUCCGUAAAAUCAGCAAACAACUGACAGGAUAACUUCAGGAAGUGGGUAUUAAUUCUCACGGUAUAAGUGAAGACAUUAAGCACCAGAGUUUAAGUAGCUUGAUCCACUGAAAGAGAUUCAACUGUGUGGAACCUAUGCCGUGGAGAAUUGCUUUCUGCCAUUGUUAUCGUCCAGCAGUUGCCGAAUAGCUCUGACCUGAGCAAAGCAGUGAAACGCGGUGCUGUUGAGUGGGUUGCCACUGCACCUUUUUCAACUACUCUAGUCUUGUGGAGAAAAUACCCCUUCUAAAUUUUUUCUUCAUUGAAUACUCUCCCUCAGCUCCAGAGUACCAUAUAGAGUUUUCUUGUAUUUUAGAGUUACUGUUUUAUCAAAGUUUACCAGUCUUUUGUAUUACAUUUCUCCUGUCUAAAUCGACUGUGUGGUUUCUACUCAUUAUGGAUAUAGAUUGAUACAAACUCAAUAAAUAUUUUUGAAUGAAUAA